CCCCCGGCCCGAUCCAGCAGUCCCGACCCCUCCUCUCGCCGUCAGCCUCCUGCACGCCAAUCCCACGCACCCAGAGAGCUAGCCGCGACUAAUAAACACCAGCAGCUAGCUAAUAGCCAUGCCACGGCCGGAGCCCGCGCGGUGCUCAUCGUCCUUGGUGCGGCCGCCGUCAUGCUCCAGCUGGCCGUGGUGGCGGAGGUGUGCAAGACACCUGCAAGCGCGCCAUCUAUUUCAGGAACGGCUUCCUCGUCCGCUCCACCAUAAGCACGGCGGCGUAGGACCUGCAAAACUGCGACGAGGAGGAGGCGGCGUCAAGAGCAAGAAGAGUCUUCUUGGGAGCAGGUUGUGGCCGGGAGGGGUGGGGGUGCCUUCUCUCCUGGCCACGACGGAUGAGGGAUUCGCUGCUGCAGGCGUAGAGGACGACGACGAGUACCUGGCGCGGGAGGCCGGGUGGGGGGUGCGGCAGAUGGGUGGGUCGGGGAGGAGAUACGGCGGGUGGCGCAGGUCCAGGCCAAGGCCUUCCACGUCCUCGUCGCGCUCUUCAACGAUUUCUUCUUGGACUUCUUCAAAAUUAGGCCGAGGUGCUGUCCGCGCUUAUCUACAAAGUGAGGAACUCGCUGCCUGACAGCUUGCAGUGACGAUGGCCCGGGGUCUGGCGGCGUGAUGGUGCUGGGAAAUAAAAGCAGGGGACAGGAGGCUUCCAACGCUGCUUAGCAAAAAAACGGAUUUUAUAAUGGACCCAAUAUGAUGACGUGGCCCGAUUUGAAAUAUUGGGAGGCUAGCUUUUAGCAUUCUGCUGUGGGUUGAUAUGUUUUUGGAGGGGAAAUUUUUUAGCAUAGCCCCCAAUAUCUCGUUUUGGGGAAGAAUUUUUUAGUGUACUCUUGGAGUUGCUCUAAGGACACCAGAUUUUGUUGUUAAACUCUUGUUCAAAGUUAAUUGGAAACUGAUUUAUGAAUGGACAUGGAAAUGCCGUGCUUGGGCAAGUUACAUGCAUACACUGUGUGCUGUAAGAUUAUUUUCGUAGUA